rnacentral:rRNA from 1 species
UACAGAGGGGGCAAGCGUUGUUCGGAAUUACUGGGCGUAAAGGGCGCGUAGGCGGCACGGCAAGUCGGGAGUGAAAGCCCGGGGCUCAACCCCGGAGGGUCUUCCGAAACUGCCGAGCUAGAGUGCGGAAGAGGCAACCGGAAUUCCCAGUGUAGCGGUGAAAUGCGUAGAUAUUGGGAAGAACACCAGAGGCGAAGGCGGGUUGCUGGGCCGACACUGACGCUCAUGCACGAAAGCGUGGGGAGCAAACAGG